rnacentral:rRNA from 1 species
UACGGAAUGGAUAAGCGCUGAAAGCAUCUAAGCGCGAAGCCAACUUCAAGAUAAGAUUUCCCACCGUAAGGGUAAGAUCCCAGGAAGACUACCUGGUUGAUAGGUCAAAGGUGUAAGUGCAGCAAUGUAUGUAGCUUAUUGAUACUAAUAGAUCGAGGACUUGACCAAG